rnacentral:rRNA from 1 species
AGUGAACGCUGGCGGCGUGCUUAACACAUGCAAGUCGAACGAGAACGGAUUAUAGCUUGCUAUAAUUGUCAGCUAAGUGGCGCACGGGUGAGUAAUGUAUAGAUAACCUGCCCUCUAGAAAGGAAUAACAGUUGGAAACGACUGCUAAUGCCCUAUAUGCCUUUAAUACAUAAGUAUGCAAGGGAAACGCUUUAGUGCUAGAGGAUGGGUCUGUAUGGUAUCAGUUAGUUGGUGAGGUAAUGGCUCACCAAGACAAUGACGCCUAACUGGUUUGAGAGGAUGAUCAGUCACACUGGAACUGAGACACGGUCCAGACUCCUACGGGAGGCAGCAGUGGGGAAUAUUGCACAAUGGACGAAAGUCUGAUGCAGCAACGCCGCGUGGAGGAUGACACAUUUCGGUGCGUAAACUCCUUUUAUAUAGGAAGAUAAUGACGGUACUAUAUGAAUAAGCACCGGCUAACUCCGUGCCAGCCGCCGCGGUAA